GACGAACGCUGGCGGCGUGCCUAAUACAUGCAAGUCGAACGAACUCUGGUAUUGAUUGGUGCUUGCAUCAUGGUUUACAUUUGAGUGAGUGGCGAACUGGUGAGUAACACGUGGGAAACCUGCCCAGAAGCGGGGGAUAACACCUGGAAACAGAUGCUAAUACCGCAUAACAACUUGGACCGCAUGGUCCGAGCUUGAAAGAUGGCUUCGGCUAUCACUUUUGGAUGGUCCCGCGGCGUAUUAGCUAGAUGGUGGGGUAACGGCUCACCAUGGAAAUGAUACGUAGCCGACCUGAGAGGGUAAUCGGCCACAGUGGGAAUGAGACACGGCCCAAACUCCUACGGGAGGCAGCAGUCGGGAAUCUUCCGCAAUGGACGAAAGUCUGAUGGAGCAACGCCGCGUGAGUGAAGAAGGGUUUCGGCUCGUAAAACUCUGUUGUUAAAGAAAAACAUAUCUGAGAGUAACUGUUCAGGUAUUGACGGUAUUUAACCAGAAAGCCACGGCUAACUACGUGCCAGCCGCCGCGGUAA
rnacentral:rRNA from 1 species